UACCUGCUUCCAAGAUGCAGGGCGCGCGCGCAAAUAUACGCAAACACACCCCGAGUUACGCCCAAUUCCUUUAGUUUCAUUUUAUUGAUCCGUAUCGAAACGGGAUGAAAUUAGUUGACAAUGCUGUCUUGAUAUCAGGCUAAAGCUUCACCCAACCAAUUCGCAACGUUUGAUUCGGUGCAUCGACAGAUUCUUGGUCAUUUUAAAUCGAUUCAGUUGGAAAGCCGAGAGGGAUCUUUGGCAGUAAGGAGAACUGUUUUGUCAGUGGACCGAUGAUCCACACAUGAACCAAAGCCGGCUCAGCCUGUUACCUGGCCCUUCUCAGCAGGCCUCCAGUCUACUAUGGAUGAGGAGAGAGAGGAGGGGGGUCC